rnacentral:rRNA from 1 species
UGAGGAAUAUUGGUCAAUGGUCGGGAGACUGAACCAGCCAAGCCGCGUGAGGGAAGAAGGUACAGCGUAUCGUAAACCUCUUUUGCCGGGGAACAAGAGNUUCCACGAGUGGGAGUGUGAGCGUACCCGGAGAAAAAGCAUCGGCUAACUCCGUGCCAGCAGCCGCGGUAAUACGGAGGAUGCGAGCGUUAUCCGGAUUUAUUGGGUUUAAAGGGAGCGUAGAUGGAUGUUUAAGUCAGUUGUGAAAGUUUGCGGCUCAACCGUAAAAUUGCNGUUGAUACUGGAUGUCUUGAGUGCAGUUGAGGCAGGCGGAAUUCGUGGUGUAGCGGUGAAAUGCUUAGAUAUCACGAGGAACUCCNAUUGCGAAGGCAGCCUGCUAAGCUGCAACUGACAUUGAGGCUCGAAAGUGUGGGUAUCAAAC